UACGUAGGGUGCAAGCGUUAUUCGGAAUUACUGGGCGUAAAGCGUGCGCAGGCGGCUUUGCAAGACAGAUGUGAAAUCCCCGGGCUCAACCUGGGAACUGCAUUUGUGACUGCAUGGCUAGAGUACGGUAGAGGGGGAUGGAAUUCCGCGUGUAGCAGUGAAAUGCGUAGAUAUGCGGAGGAACACCGAUGGCGAAGGCAAUCCCCUGGACCUGUACUGACGCUCAUGCACGAAAGCGUGGGGAGCAAACAGG
rnacentral:rRNA from 1 species